AGCACUUCGGUGGCUGACGAGUGGCGAACGGGUGAGUAAUAUAUCGGAACGUGCCCAGUCGUGGGGGAUAACGUAGCGAAAGCUACGCUAAUACCGCAUACGAUCUAUGGAUGAAAGCGGGGGAUCGCAAGACCUCGCGCGAUUGGAGCGGCCGAUAUCAGAUUAGCUAGUUGGUGGGGUAAAGGCCCACCAAGGCGACGAUCUGUAGCUGGUCUGAGAGGACGACCAGCCACACUGGAACUGAGACACGGUCCAGACUCCUACGGGAGGCAGCAGUGGGGAAUUUUGGACAAUGGGCGCAAGCCUGAUCCAGCAAUGCCGCGUGCAGGACGAAGGCCUUCGGGUUGUAAACUGCUUUUGUACGGAACGAAAAGGUCUGCCCUAAUACGGCGGGCUCAUGACGGUACCGUAAGAAUAAGCACCGGCUAACUACGUGCCAGCAGCCGCGGUAAUACGUAGGGUGCAAGCGUUAAUCGGAAUUACUGGGCGUAAAGCGUGCGCAGGCGGUUUUGUAAGACAGAUGUGAAAUCCCCGGGCUCAACCUGGGACCUGCAUUUGUGACUGCAAAGCUAGAGUACGGCAGAGGGGGAUGGAAUUCCGCGUGUAGCAGUGAAAUGCGUGGAUAUGCGGAGGAACACCGAUGGCGAAGGCAAUCCCCUGGGCCUGUACUGACGCUCAUGCACGAAAGCGUGGGGAGCAAACAGGAUUAGAUACCCUGGUAGUCCACGCCCUAAACGAUGUCAACUAGGUGUUGGGUGGGUAAAACCAUUUAGUACCGGAGCUAACGCGUGAAGUUGACCGCCUGGGGAGUACGGCC
rnacentral:rRNA from 1 species